UACACGCGUCCAUCUACGAAGCACGCGCCAUAACCUUAAACUCAACAGUCCUCUGGUUCUUUUCGUGUGAUUUACGAGUACAGUAUGGCGCCGAGGAAGAAAAAGCUUUCUAGGGAAGAGAUUUUACAAAGAAAACGAGAAGCUGAGCGAAAGAGAUAUGAGCAUAUGAAAAACGAUCCACAGAAACGGGAAGCACUAAAAGAGAGGGAACGUAUUAAAUACCUAAAGAAAAAAGAAAAGGGAACUAGGAAGCUUGUGGAAAAUAUCACUCCCCGUGAACACCGCGAAGUAAAAAAGAAGUGGGGAGAGCAUUGCAGCAACAACCGUAAUAAGAAAAAAGAAUAGGAAAAUUCGAUAAUUCUUCGGGUAUAUAAAACUAAAUUUCAUUGAACUUGUGAUGAGACAUCUCAGCUGCUUUUGUGAAAAUGAUUCUUGUCUACAUUUCAAGAUAGGAAAAAUAUUGUAUGAACAGAAGCAAAAACUUUGUGUAGAAGAUGUGUUCACUGAUUCAGAAACAGAGAAUGACGCCGGACCUAGUUCUGUUGCUGUAGGAACAGAACUGAACAGAACAGCAAAUGCUUUCAACACUGGUGAUAACAUACUUGUCAAAUUACCUGCCAAAAAUAUGGAUUACAGAUAUGGGAGCGUUGUUGACACCAUUGAUGAAGAAGAAGAUGAACUGCGUGUUACCUUCCUAAAACUGUGUGAUAAAAAUGGUCAAACAUUUAGGAUUGAUCAAAUGGAUGUGGCGGAUGUUGCAACGGACCAAGUCAUAGAGAAACUGCCUAAUCCUAAUUUGCUUAUGAAAGGGAACCAAAUUUUCUACAAAUUUGAUUCAAGUGUAAAUGUAUUUGAAAAACAAUAACAGUUGAAUCAGAUAUGAAAAAUACUAGAUAUUUUCAUAGCAGAUGCCUGAUUGUUAUACUGUUUACAGAUUACUUAGUAUUUAGAGAAAGACUCUGAAGUCUGAGGUACUUAUUUCUUUUAAUCAAUGUGAUAUUAAAUGAUACUCAAGUGAGAUUUGUAGUGAGAGUUAAAUUAUUAAUAAUACUGUUAAAAACGAAGAUCUCAUAUAAAAUACUAUUGAUUUAAUGUUUCUAUAAUCAUUAAUAACGUGAUACGUAAGGUUUUUAAUAUUUUAUAAUAAUAAUAAGACUAUAAUUUUGUACU